GGCAAUCUGGCCGAGCGGUUAAGGCGUGAGACUUGAAAUCUCUUGGGCUAUGCCCGCAUAGGUUCGAAUCCUGUGGUUGUCG
rfam:Hanseniaspora uvarum DSM 2768 Contig_4, whole genome shotgun sequence.